ACUCCUGUUACCAAAUCUUAUAGGUAAAACAGUGUCCCCUCAAAGCCUCCACAAUUUUAAUCCCUGCAGACUGAUUAUUUCAUCACACAUGCCAUCAAAAAACUUAAAUGGCAAAUAGAACAACGUCUGAUAAGGAGUUAACUUUAAGCCAGGUUUCCACUUCCUAUUGUCAUUUGGAAAAAAGGAGGGGUGUGGCUAUUUGGAAGGAGGUGAAGUGAAUUAUCAAAAGACAACAUGGUGUGAUUCCUUUAAGGAAUCUCAAGAGUGGCUCCUAUCAACAAACAAGAAUGAAUCAAAAUCAAAAGCAUUGGUGUCACAGGAGAAGCAUUCAGCAAAAUGAAAACAUAAUAUGAACCAAGGGAACAAAACUUGCAAACCAUGUGUCUGAUAAUUUUAACAGUCAAAAUAUUUAAGAAACCUUUAUGACCUUAUAGGAAAAAAAUUAUAGCAAUAAAUAUUUGUGUCAAAAAUGAGUAAAUAACUCAAUGGACUUUUCUCCAAAGAAGAAAUGCAGGUGAUGAACAAGCUCGUGGAAAUAUACUCAGUCCCAGCAAUCAGGAAAAUGUGAUUCAGAUCCACUAUGAGAUGCAGCCUUACACAUUAUAUUUAUUAAUGCAAAAGUGAAUAUGUCUGGCUGGAAAGUUGGUUCCGCAGGUAAAGGUACUUGCUGCUUUUUCACAAGCCUUAGGUUCAGUUCCCAGCACCUAUGGUAGGAGACGCACACCUGCCUGUAACACUAGACAUAAGGGAUUAGACACCCUCUUCUGACCUUAUGGGUAUCCAUAUACAUGCCCAAUAUACAAACAUAGGCAAACACACGAGCAUAUAAGUAAAUGAAACUAUAUUUACAUAUAUGAGUGUCUGUGUGUUGGUAUAAAUGUAUGUAUAUAUGUGUAUGUGGAGGUGUGCACAUAGUCACAGAAAUACAAAAAUCUAAAAAUGUGAGGCACAAAAUUAACUCUUUACCUCUGUGGUACCAAAUUUAACAAGAGUUCGGAAUGUCAUCACGUCAAUAUGUCUCUUAUUCUGAAAAGCCAGAGACAGAAGCCAGCUUUUUCCUGAAUCUCCAGUAAUUUUCAUUUUUGAAGGUUUAUUAAGAAUCAUAAACAGUUAUGGAUGUGAAAUAUAAUUUAAUGAUA
rnacentral:lncRNA from 1 species